GACGAACGCUGGCGGCGUGCCUAAUACAUGCAAGUAGAACGCUGAAGGAUGAGCUUGCUUCUCUGGAUGAGUCGCGAACGGUUGAUUAACGCGUAGGUAACCUGGCUUGUAUCGGGGGCUAACUAUUGGAAACGAUAGCUAAUACCCCAUAAAAGUUAAUGUUGCAUGCCAUUUGCUUAAAAGGUGCAAUUGCAUCACUACUAGAUGUACCUGCGUUGUUUUAGGUUGUUGGUGGGGUAACGGCUCACCAAGGAGACGAUAACUAACCGCCCUGAGAGGGUGACGGGCCACACUGGGACUGAGAGAGUGCCCAGACUCAUACGGAAGGCGGCAGUAGGGAGACUUCGGCGAUAGACGGCAGUGUGAACGAGCAAAGCCGGGUGAGUGAAGAAGGGUUGCGGAUCGUAGAGAUCUGGUGUAAGAGAAGAACGAGUGUGAGAGUGGAAAAUGCACAAUGUGACGGUAUCUUACCAGAAAGGGACGGCUAACUACGUG
rnacentral:rRNA from 1 species